rnacentral:misc_RNA from 1 species
GAUGAAGAACGUAGCGAAAUGCGAUAAGUAAUGUGAAUUGCAGAAUUCAGUGAAUCAUCGAAUCUUUGAACGCACAUUGCGCCCGUUAGCAUUCUAGCGGGCAUGCCUGUCCGAGCGUCAUUUCAACCCUCAGGGUCCCCGUUCCGGCGGGGAACCUGGUGUUGGGGAUCGGCCCGCCCCGUGCGGCGCCGUCCCCCAAAUUCAGUGGCGGUCUCGCUGCAGCCUCCCCUGCGUAGUAGUUACAACCUCGCAUCGGAGCUCAGCGCGGCCACGCCGUAAAACCCCCGACUUUCUGAACGUUGACCUCGGAUCAGGUAGGAAUACCCGCUGAACUUCAGCAUAUCAAUAAGCGGAGGA